rnacentral:rRNA from 1 species
GGUUAAGCGACUAAGCGUACACGGUGGAUGCCCUGGCAGUCAGAGGCGAUGAAGGACGUGCUAAUCUGCGAAAAGCGCCGGCGAGGUGAUAUGAACCCUUGACCCGGCGAUGUCCGAAUGGGGAAACCCAGUGUGUUCCGACACACUAUCGUUAACUGAAUACAUAGGUUAACGAGGCGAACCGGGGGAACUGAAACAUCUAAGUACCCCGAGGAAAAGAAAUCAACCGAGAUUCCCCCAGUAGCGGCGAGCGAACGGGGAGCAGCCCGGAGUCUGAAUCAGCUUGUGUGUUAGUGGAACGGUCUGGAAAGUCCGACGGUACAGGGUGAUAGUCCCGUACACGAAAACACACUUGCUGUGAACUCGAAGAGUAGGGCGGGACACGUGGUAUCCUGUCUGAAUAUGGGGGGACCAUCCUCCAAGGCUAAAUACUCCUGACUGACCGAUAGUGAACCAGUACCGUGAGGGAAAGGCGAAAAGAACCCCGGCGAGGGGAGUGAAAAAGAACCUGAAACCGUGUACGUACAAGCAGUGGGAGCACCUUCGGGUGUGACUGCGUACCUUUUGUAUAAUGGGUCAGCGACUUAUAUUCUGUAGCAAGGUUAACCGUAUAGGGGAGCCGAAGG